GCAUCGGGGGCGGGGCUCCGGAUUGAAGGCGUGAGCGAACCGGGCUGACGACUCCGCAGGUUGUCGGUCCUCCCUUAUUGAGGUGUGGAGCGCCCAGAACGGGCUACCUGAGAACUGUAGUUGUGGAAGAUUUCACAGCCAUAACAUGUAUCCUACCAUGAUCUACAGACUGAAAAUCAUCAGAACUGAGGCUCAGAUGGGAGCAGAAUGAGUCAGGU
rnacentral:lncRNA from 1 species